GGGCCCAUAGCUCAGUUGGUUAGAGCGUCACGUUGACAUCGUGAAGGUCGGUGGUUCAAGUCCACCUGGGCCCA
rnacentral:tRNA from 2 species